rnacentral:lncRNA from 1 species
CGAGUCUACCAGACGAGAUUGAAGUCACCAAAGCGCAGGCACUAAGUCUAGCGGAUGAGAACUGGAACAAGUUUUAUCAAGAGAUAUACGCGGCCGAAGCAGACACUUAUGGAAUAAUCAUGAAUUCCUUCCAAGAGUUGGAGCCUGAGUAUGCAAGCAUAUACAAGAAGCAUAGAAAGGAUAAAGUGUGGUGCGUUGGUCCGGUGUCAUUAAGCAACAAAGAUCAAUUGGACAAGGCUCAAAGAGGCAACAUGGUUUCAACUGAAGAGUGGAUGCACCAAAAAUGGCUUGAUUCUCAAAAGCCUAAGAGUGUAAUUUAUGUAUGUCUUGGAAGUUUAUGUAAUCUAACUGCAACUCAGUUGAUUCAGAUUGGUUUAGCCUUAGAAGAAUCAAAAAGACCUUUUAUUUGGGUCAUAAGAAAAGGAAGUCAAUCAGAAGUGCUAGAAAAGUGGAUUAAGGAAGAUGGGUUUGAAGAAAGAAUCAAAGAUCAGAGCCUUAUAAUUCGAGGUUGGGCUCCUCAACUGCUAAUACUAUCACAUCCUUCAAUCGGAGGGUUCUUGACACAUUGUGGCUGGAACUCUAACUUAGAAGCUAUAUGUGCUGGUGUGCCAAUGCUGACAUGGCCCUUAUUUGGCGACCAGUUUCUGAAUGAAAAACUAGUUGUCAAAGUACUAAAAGUUGGAGUGAUGAUUGGUGCGAAAAGUCCUAUGGAGUGGGGGAAAGAAGAGGAGGUUGGUGAACUGGUUAGGAAAGAAGAUAUUAAAAUAGGAAUAGAAAAGUUAAUGGAUGGGAAUAAUGGUGAAUGUGAAGAGAGAAGAGAAAGGGUAAGAAAGUUAGCGGAAAUGGCUAAAAUAUCUGUAGCAGAAGGUGGAUCUUCUCAUAGUAACUUGACUAUGUUUAUCCAAGAUAUUUUGCAUAAAAGCUUGGGGGCCGUAUAUGAUAAUCUAGUUGACAAAAACUAAUGGCACAAUAUCUGUUUGCAUAUGUAUGAUUAUUCUGUUCCAUAGUGCUAUUAAUAUGGAAUAAAUAUCAAUAUGGAGGCUCCCAACAAGGAACUUAUGUUUAUUUGGAAAGCAUGCCAUAAAUUAGUACCGUAUUAGGAAAUCUUUGUAAGAAAAAAAUUAAUAAAUAAUCCUGUAUGCCCAAUUUGUAAUUAUGAGCCUGAAACUAUUAAACAUUGUCUAUUAAGAUGUCAAUGUACAUAUCUCCUAGUGAGCAGAAUGUUUGAUCUCUAAACAAUUGGUUAUUAAAACUUAAUUCAACGGAUGAGGGACUUGGGCAGAUUUCGCUGGCAGCAAAUGUUAUUUGGGAAAUUUGGAAAUCUAGAAAUGAAUCUGUUUAAAACAGUUUCUAAUCCACAGAACAAAAUCAUCAAAGCAAACAUACUUUAAAGAGAAGGAAUAAAACAACCCAAGCAAUUCGAGAUCAAGAUCAAAAUCAAAGAAAAGAGGGAUUUACCGUUUGGAGGCCUCCGCCGCAGAUUGUUUGAAGUUGGUGUUUGGGCGGCUAGAAUGACAAAUUCAGUUGCCCAAUUGCAUCUGAAACAGUGCCUUCCAUUGACUUGAGGUCGAGCAUGGUUAAGGGAGAAGAUAAAUUGCUUCAUUGCUUGCAUGCUUUCAUUUGUGUGAGUGGAAAUAUGCUUUCUUUUUCUCUCCUCCUCUAGUGUUUGUUAUUUUCUUUCAAUUGAGACCUCUCUUAUAAGUUAUAACCCCCAAACUCAAUU